AGUUAACCCUGGGGUACUUUUGUCUUGAAAACAAAUUAUGAGUGUUCGAUUCACUUAUUAACUU
rnacentral:tRNA from 1 species